rnacentral:lncRNA from 1 species
AAGCUGCCUGACAUCUAAGGAUCUCUGAAGAGAACUGGGACCUGAAACCCAUCUGAAAUGUAUCUGCAGACAGGUCAAGUUCAUCGAGAGUCACCUCCUGCCUGACACUCCAGUCAUUAAUUCCAGUGUGAAGAACAUGAUGAAGGUCCGUCCUAAGGAUGUCUUGGCUACCACAUCUCCAAAUCCAACGGUUGACGUUGUUGCCAUGACCAGAUACAAUUAUGGGAGGAGAAGAGUAUCCUAAGUGGCCUGAACACCUAAAUAAAAUAAAUCUGACAAUGUUGCU